rnacentral:lncRNA from 1 species
CCUUGGACGUCCCCUCCUAUUGGCAUGCUCCCUUGGGCGUCUCCCUCCCUCUUGGUAUCCUCCCUCCUUUUGUGGUGUCAUAUGGAGCUCUUCCAAGACCUUAGGAUCUACUUACAAGGCUUCAUCUCCUUCCUCUUUGAAGAAAGAGUUCAUCUCUCUCUCCUACAGCAUUUGGUAUGCACGCGAAGUAGAGGAUCCGUGCAUCCGGAUCUCAUGAAGC